rnacentral:ncRNA from 1 species
CAGACACGGACAGGAUUGACAGAUUGAUAGCUCUUUCUGGAUUCUGUGGGUUUGGUGCAUGGCCGUUCUUAAUUGGUGGAGCAAUUUGUCUGGUUAAUUCUGAUAAUGAACCAGACUCUGGCAUAGUAACUAGUCCCAUGACUCCCGAGCCCAAAAGAGAGCCCACAUAGCCAAGUCAAUUCUAAGCAAAAUGAACAAAGCUAAAGGCAUCACACUACCGGACUUCAAACUAUACUGCAAGGCUACAGCAAUCAAAACAGCAUGGUACUGGUACCAAAACAGAUAUAGACCAAUGGAA